UACAGAGGUGGCAAGCGUUGUUCGGAAUUACUGGGCGUAAAGGGCGCGUAGGCGGCCAUCUAAGUCAGACGUGAAAUCCCCCGGCUUAACCUGGGAACUGCGUCUGAUACUGGAAGGCUUGAGUAUGGGAGAGGGAUGUAGAAUUCCAGGUGUAGCGGUGAAAUGCGUAGAUAUCUGGAGGAAUACCGGUGGCGAAGGCAGCCCCCUGGGCCGAUACUGACGCUCAUGCACGAAAGCGUGGGGAGCAAACAGG
rnacentral:rRNA from 1 species